AAAAGGUUCAACCCCAAUUUAAUUUCAACAAGCCUUGCUUAUUAAUUAAAAAACAUUAAAUAUAUUAAAUUACAAAAACUCUACAAUUAUGUUCAUGCUUCUAAUAAAAUCGUCUCACCUCGGACCUUAACCCUCAGAUCAUUUUGCACCGUCGGCGAACUCCCAGUCAUCAAGCUCCAGCAACGCCUCUAAACAUUGAUUGGAGAUGUGUCAAAGCCUCAAAGUUAACGUCCUUGCGGUACCCUUAGAGAAACACAAUAAAAUGUUGUGAAAGCACCUUCGUGUAGUCAGUAGUCUGCUCAUCCGAAGAAGAUGCGCCGUAAAAGUAGCCACUAGAAUAUCUCGACGGCAACUUCAUUUGACGACAAAUAAUCUCUCUCACAUAAUAUCUGCUAUUUUAUACUCUAUUUAAUUUCUAUGGAAAAUCCAAAUCCCAAUCGUUCCACUGAGGUAAUUUUCAAUUAUAUUGUACUGUAUUUAAUUUGUUUAUUGGGCUUCUUGAAUCCAAUUUAGACUAUUUAAAUAUUGAAUUUAUUUGGGGAUUUCAUUCCAUUUGGUGGGCUUCAUAAUUGAUUGAUUUUGCGGGUGUGAAAAAAAGGCUAUGCAACCUCCAAGUGUUUGAGUGUCAAUCCUUUGUCUCGGUCCCAAGGUAAAUGUGCUGGUUGCAACUUUGUGGGAUAAUCAGGUCAUUUCUUGCUUCAAUUGAUUUUUCAUCCUUUUUUUCUACCUUUUUAAUCAAUGUAAUUUCUAUUUGCUAAUUGGGACUUUUAUUUUGACCUUAUCUAAGAAAAUGAUAGGAAAAAUUGUCAUUAUGGUUUAAUUGUUGGGAGAUAUUUUCGAUGGUGCUUGAUGAGUUUGUUUCACUCAUGAACGUUUUGAGUGCAGAACGUUUUUGAUGGGUUUGUUAGUGUUGUUUUGAAGAUUAGGAAAGGUGAUGCAAAAAGAGGUAUUAAAGUGGACGAAGAAAAAAAUAAAAAAAUUGGAGCAGAAAGGCAGCGCCCAACGCUUGUAGCGUCAAGCGCUACGAAAUGUGAAAAAACGAAGAAUUGGAGCAGAGAAUGAGUAGCGCUCAGGAGCUACGUGUGAUUUGUCACGGCGCUUAAGCGCUGACCCCUAAUGCUUAAAUGUCGGGGUCGUCUAGGGCACAUUUUUGGACCGUCUUAAAGUCCAUAAAAACCCUACUUUCUACACAAACGAGGGGCCACCUAUAAAUACAAAAUUCUCACAUUUUGGAGGGGAAUUUUUUCACGCUUUGAGAGGCAAGAGAAUACAACUGAAAAAUCAAAAGAAGUAUUCAUAGGAGGAAAACAUCAAGCAAUUAAAAGUUUACGCAUUAAUUGGAAAAGGAAGAAGAUCUUGGUUGCAAGAAUUCUACUUUUUCAUAUACAUCUUUACUACAAAUUCGGUGAUGUAUUCUAAGACAAUUGAUUGUUUUUUUCUUUCAUUAUGAAUAGUUAAAUUCAUUGUUAGGGAGAAUAUUGUAACCAAUUGGGAUCCUUUAUAUUUUCUUAUUAAGAUUCUUGAUUUUUAUUGUUUCAUGUGUUGAUUUUACUAUGAAGUGAAUGCAUUAAAUUACUUGAUCAAUAAUUUGAUGAUUUUGUGAAUUCUUUACGAAUAGAGAUAGGAGUUUAGAAUUUAGACCAUAUAGUAAAAUUCAGUAAAUUGGUAUAACGAGUAGAGAUACAUAAGCUAAUUAUUGUGGUCAUAAUUGAAUUCAUAGGACGAAGAACUUGUUUAACUAAGUGGAUUUGAAUAGAGAUAUGUAAUUUAAUUAGUUAAAUAUGCUCAAUGAGAACUCCAGAUGGGUAUAUUGAAUACAAUAGGAGAAUUCAACCGAACACUACAUUGGAUAAAAAUCUUGAUUUGAGAUGUAAAGGUGAUCAAUAGGUGAAGUUAUUCUACCCUAAAGUCCUUCCAUAAUUUGAUUUUCAACCCAAUAGUGUGUGCAUUCAUUAACUUUAUCACCUUUAGAUAUAAAAAAUCAAAUCCUACAAGUUUUUGUUUCAAUCAAAUGGCGGUUAAAGAAAAAUUGAAUUAAGUGUUAGAAUAUAGUCCUUGUGGGAUCGAGAAUUCGGACUCUUAGGUCCACUAUUAUUUGUUACGGUCCAUAUACUUGCGAAAAUAAAAUUGACAAUAGUGCUAGUAUGUGAUAUUACCUUGCAUUUGUGACAUGACCUAUUCACGCCUCAAAUUUGUAUUUGUGAAAUUUUAAUUCAAGUUUGAGUGGAAAAGUUUAUAACUUAAAUGUCAUGGCUACAAAUCUAUGCCUAUAUGGAUUGUCUAAGUUUUAUUUGUAGGAAAUAAAAGUGGUUACAAAUUAGUGAAAUCAAUUAGCUGUUGACAUACCUGCUCUGAUACAUUUGUUUGGGAAUUCUUCUUUGGUGUGAUGUUGGGAGAUAAUUAAAACUGGAACUACACUCACUCAGUAAUUAGUAGUUGGAACUUCUUAGUUUUUGUUGUUAUAUAAGUUCAAUUCCUUUAGUUUGUUGAUCCUUUCAUUGCCCCUGAUGGUGAGGCCUUAAGUGCAUAUGCAAUUGAAUGAUAAUUCACGUGUCAUUCUCAUUUUAAGGUAAACUAAAUGUCUGGACUAUGUUUUGUAUUAUACUAUCUAUAGUACAACUUUGUCACAACAAGAGAUUUCCUCUCUCCCACUUAGUGCCAUAGUAUCUCUGCCAGUUGAACUUCAAUUCUCAUUAUUUUCUUUUACUUGUCCACUAUUGACUUAAGAUCUCUACGAUUUCAAUCUCAAAACAUUGUUCUCCUCAUGGUACUAGGAAUCGUAAACUCAGACUAAACUAAUCAGUAUCUGUUUGCUCUCUUUUAGCCUUUUCAAUACAUGAUAUUUAUCUGUAAGUUUAAUAGUUUCUUAGCUCAGGGAAUUAAAUUCAAAUUUUCUCGUCCAGAUAUCAAACGACGAAGCUGUUGAAACUACUAAGCAAUUAGCUCUUCAAGAGGGCAUGCUAGUUAGUACUUUACGCUAGUGUUGCAUAAAUUUGUCAGAUCACCCACAUUAAUAUUGCAUCUUUAGGUUGAGUACUUAACAGGUGGGUAUUUCUUCUGGAUCGACAACUGUUGCUGCCAUGGAGGUUGGAAAGAGACAUGAAAAUUCAGAAAAGCUUAUUGCGGUAUGCUAAUUUUUUUUCUUUUCAUGUUGUUGAUAUCUCAUAUUAAUCAAGUGAAUUUAUUCCGUAUAAUAUGGCUUAGCAUGAAUUUAAACAUAAUCGUUGGA
rnacentral:lncRNA from 1 species